AUGAACGCUGGCGGCGUGCCUAACACAUGCAAGUCGAACGAAGCACCUUACCUGAUUCUUCGGAUGAAAGUUUGGUGACUGAGUGGCGGACGGGUGAGUAACGCGUGGGUAACCUGCCCUGUACAGGGGGAUAACAGCUGGAAACGGCUGCUAAUACCGCAUAAGCGCACGAGGAGACAUCUCCUUGUGUGAAAAACUCCGGUGGUACAGGAUGGGCCCGCGUCUGAUUAGCUGGUUGGCAGGGUAACGGCCUACCAAGGCAACGAUCAGUAGCCGGUCUGAGAGGAUGAACGGCCACAUUGGAACUGAGACACGGUCCAAACUCCUACGGGAGGCAGCAGUGGGGAAUAUUGCACAAUGGGGGAAACCCUGAUGCAGCAACGCCGCGUGAGUGAAGAAGUAUUUCGGUAUGUAAAGCUCUAUCAGCAGGGAAGAUAAUGACGGUACCUGACGAAGAAGCUCCGGCUAAAUACGUG
rnacentral:rRNA from 1 species